UACGUAGGGUGCGAGCGUUAAUCGGAAUUACUGGGCGUAAAGCGUGCGCAGGCGGUCUGUUAAGACCGAUGUGAAAUCCCCGGGCUUAACCUGGGAACUGCAUUGGUGACUGGCAGGCUUUGAGUGUGGCAGAGGGAGGUAGAAUUCCACGUGUAGCAGUGAAAUGCGUAGAGAUGUGGAGGAAUACCAAUGGCGAAGGCAGCCCCCUGGGUUAACACUGACGCUCAUGCACGAAAGCGUGGGGAGCAAACAGG
rnacentral:rRNA from 1 species